AGACCUAGCAAAACUCAGGCAAAAACCUUAGGUAAAACUGCUGAAGUUUCUGUGAAAUCAAGUAAGAACAGCAGAAAAUACACAGAGACGCUUAUUCUAUCCAGCACAGUAAGUCGCCCAGUUCAAAUGUGCCCUGAUCCAUAAUACCUUUCGUGGCUCUACUGGCUCAUAUUAAUCUCACCCACCUCAGAUUUUCCAGAUCAUCUAUGGCACCUUCACCACAGCAUUUAUCACAUUUGACCUUGAACCACAGUGAAUUCUUUACGCUGCUCAUUCACACCACGUAUUUUAAGUUCUUUGGGGAAAUCCCUUGUGUUUCCAAGAGCACAGCACUAUGCAAGGAACUGGCUUAGGGCCACCAGCUUGCAACUUCUAACACUGGGUUUUUACCAACCUGCAGUAGGUCUUUAUGCACUAACAGAGUCGCUACACCUGUAUCCAUUAAAAAUGGCAAUCUCUUGAAGGGACAUAUAAGAAUACUGCAUUUGAGAUGUCUGUCUAUAAAACACAGGAACAGAAGAACCGUAAGUUAGAACCAAAGUGUCCAGCCCACUUUCAUCUGUGACUAUUCUAUGGGAUCAGAUCUCAGGACUGAAGGAUAUCCUAAAGUGGCUCUGUGCUGGCAGUAAGCUUGCUUCAUGUGGUUGUCCAGCCACUUAACUGCUUCCUUCAGACAGACAAGCAACGGCAGGCAUCUCAGUGGGCCGGCAGAGUGUCCAAUCCAGUUCGAUUCAAUUAAUGUUUAUGCACUACCUUCCAUAUACCAUGGUGCUACACAGUCUCCACCCUACAGUGGGGAAGUCAGGCAAGUAAACAAAUGACAACACAGAACAGUGUGUGACAUUCUGAGAAGGAAGUAUGCCAAGGGUAGCUUAUAGGGAAAUGGAAAUAAGGGUGGUUUUGCAGAAGAGGAGAUACUUGAGCAGAGCCUUAAAGCGUAGAAGGAAUCGGCCGGACAGAAGAAACAAAGAGGCAACACCCAAACUCAAGGUCUUUCAAGUAGUCCCAGCAAACGGCCAAUGCACGUACUGUGAGUGGCUGGAGCUCCAAAGUGAAAGAAUGGUGGCUGCAAGCAUGGAGAGUUUCUCCAGGAUCUUGAACUUGACUGUUGAGAGAAAACAACUUUGGGCUAUAUGGGUCUCCUCCUGUAUUAAUUCUCAGGAGGUCAAAGACUCUCAGAGCAGCACCAAGUCAGGAAAGGGCCUUCUCCAUCACUGACUAUAAAGAGAGAGCAAUGGCAAUGAACAUGAAGGGUAAGAGAGGUUCUGAGCAAUCUUCCAACCAAUUUCACUAAAUCAUUAAGGUGUAAACAACA